rfam:Gossypium hirsutum cultivar TM-1 chromosome 8, whole genome shotgun sequence
AUUCCAUGAUGAUGUCAUUUUCAUAAUAACUCCUUAAAUCAUUCCCAUACCUCAUAGAAGGACUCAUCAUUGAAUUGCUGAAACAUAGUAAAUUCAUUUAUCAGUUU